rnacentral:rRNA from 1 species
GGAUCAUUACCGAGUUAGGGCCUCGUUGGCCCGACCUCCCAACCCCUUGUUUAAUUAUACCAUUUGUUGCUUCGGCGGGCCGGUCUACCCAGACCGCCGGAGGGUGCACACCGCCCCUCUGGAGAGUUUUGCCCGCCGAUGGCCCCCUUCAAAAAUCUUGAACCCAACCGUGACGCCUAAAUUGAUUUAUUGUAUAAUGUACAAAAAACAAAACUUUCAACAACGGAUCUCUUGGUUCUGGCAUCGAUGAAGAACGCAGCGAAAUGCGAUAAGUAAUGCGAAUUGCAGAAUUUCCGUGAGUCAUCGAAUCUUUGAACGCACAUUGCGCCCUUUGGUAUUCCGAAGGGCAUGCCUGUUCGAGCGUCAUUAUCCCCCCUCAAACCUCGGGUUUGGUGUUGGACCGACGUUGGUCGUUACCCCGACCAACUGGUCUCAAAGACAAUGACGGCGUCCGUGGGACCCUCGAUACACCGAGCUUUCUUUUCGAAGCACGUACCGAGUUGCAAGGACCCACGCCCGCCGGUCGCUCUCCCCUUCUCGGAGAAACGCAAGUUUUUUCACAAGGUUGACCUCGGAUCAGGUAGGAAUACCCGCUGAACUUAAGCAUAUCAAUAAGCGGAGGAAAAGAAACCAACAGGGAUUGCCUCAGUAACGGCGAGUGAAGCGGCAACAGCUCAAAUUUGAAAUCUGGCCUCACGGUCCGAGUUGUAAUUUGUAGAGGAUGUUUCGGGCACCGCCGCGGUGUAAAUUUCUUGGAACAGAAUGUCAGAGAGGGUGAGAAUCCCGUCUUCGACCGCGGUAGGGCCCAUGUGAAACUCCUUCGACGAGUCGAGUUGUUUGGGAAUGCAGCUCAAAAUGGGUGGUAAAUUUCAUCUAAAGCUAAAUAUUGGCCAGAGACCGAUAGCGCACAAGUAGAGUGAUCGAAAGAUGAAAAGCACUUUGAAAAGAGAGUUAAACAGUAUGUGAAAUUGUUGAAAGGGAAGCGCUGGCAACCAGACUCGAGCGCGGUGGUUCCCCUCGGCUUCUGCCGGGGUUAUUCCACCGUGACCGGGCCAUCAUCAGUUUUGGGGGUCGGUCAAAGGCGCCGGGAAUGUACCCACUCCUUCGGGGGUGGACUUAUAGCCCGGCGUGUCAUGCGACCUCCCGGGACUGAGGAACGCGCUUCGGCGAGGAUGAUGGCGUAAUGGUUGUCAGCGACCCGUCUUGAAACACGGACCAAGGAGUCUAACAUCUAUGCGAGUGUUCGGGUGUCAAACCCUUGCGCGUAAUGAAAGUGAACGGAGGUAGGAAGGCUUGAGCCUGCACUAUCGACCGAUCCUGAUGUCUUCGGAUGGAUUUGAGUAAGAGCAUAGCUGUUGGGACCCGAAAGAUGGUGAACUAUGCGUGAAUAGGGUGAAGCCAGAGGAAACUCUGGUGGAGGCUCGCAGCGGUUCUGACGUGCAAAUCGAUCGUCAAAUUUGCGUAUAGGGGCGAAAGACUAAUCGAACCAU